GACCUCUUUGGCAGAACAUAUAUUAAAAUUUGGAUGAUAUAGAGAACAUUAGCAUGGCCCCUGCCUGAGGAUGAUACUCACAUUCAUUAAGCCUUCCAUAAAAAC
ensembl:snRNA U6 U6 spliceosomal RNA